UGAGGAAUAUUGCACAAUGGGCGCAAGCCUGAUGCAGCGACGCCGCGUGGGUGAUGAAGGUCUUCGGAUCGUAAAGCCCUUUUCUGCGUGACGAGACAGGACGGUAGCGCAGGAAUAAGUCUCGGCUAACUACGUGCCAGCAGCCGCGGUAAAACGUAGGAGACGAACGUUAUCCGGAGUUACUGGGCUUAAAGGGUGUGUAGGCGGGUCGACAAGUGUCUGGUGAAAGCCCCGGGCUCAACCCGGGAACGGCUGGGCAUACUGACGAUCUUGAGGCAGGUAGAGGUCACUGGAACAACUGGUGGAGCGGUGAAAUGCGUAGAUAUCAGUUGGAACGCCGGAGGCGAAAGCGGGUGACUGGGCCUGUCCUGACGCUGAAACACGAAAGCGUGGGGAGCAAACGGGAUUAGAUACCCAAGUAGUCCCUGAGCGGGCUGGCAAGGCGCAU
rnacentral:rRNA from 1 species